rnacentral:rRNA from 1 species
AACGAACGCUGGCGGCGUGCCUAACACAUGCAAGUCGAACGCGAAAGGGGGCAACCCCCGGUAGCGUGGCAGACGGGUGAGUAACACGUGGGUAACCUACCCGGAGGUGGGGGAUAACCCUUCGAAAGGAGGGCUAAUACCGCAUGACAUCGCGAGGACCUCGGUCCUGGCGAUCAAAGCUGGCCUCUGUUUACAAGCUAGCGCCACCGGAGGGGCCCGCGCCCCAUUAGCUAGGUGGUGAGGUAACGGCUCACCAAGGCGACGAUGGGUAGCCGGCCUGGGGGGGCGACCGGCCACACUGGAACUGCGACACUGUCCAGACUCCGACGGGAGGCAGCAGUGAGGAAUCUUGCGCAAUGGGCGAAAGCCUGACGCAGCGACGCCGCGUGGAGGAUGAAGGUCUUCGGAUUGUAAACUCCUGUCGAGUGGGACGAAUGCCAUGAGGGUGAACAUCCCUUGUGGUCGACGGUACCGCUGGAGGAAGCCCCGGCUAACUCCGUGCCAGCCGCCGCCGUAAUAC